CCUACGGGGGGCUGCAGUGGGGAAUAUUGGACAAUGGGCGAAAGCCUGAUCCAGCCAUGCCGCGUGUGUGAAGAAGGCCUUCGGGUUGUAAAGCACUUUCAGUGGGGAAGAAAGCCUUGGGGCUAAUACCCUCGAGGAAGGACAUCACCCACAGAAGAAGCACCGGCUAACUCCGUGCCAGCAGCCGCGGUAAUACGGAGGGUGCGAGCGUUAAUCGGAAUUACUGGGCGUAAAGCGCGCGUAGGCGGUCUGAUAAGCCGGUUGUGAAAGCCCCGGGCUCAACCUGGGAACGGCAUCCGGAACUGGCAGGCUAGAGUGCAGGAGAGGAAGGUAGAAUUCCCGGUGUAGCGGUGAAAUGCGUAGAGAUCGGGAGGAAUACCAGUGGCGAAGGCGGCCUUCUGGACUGACACUGACGCUGAGGUGCGAAAGCGUGGGUAGCAAACAGGAUUAGAUACCCGUGUAGUC
rnacentral:rRNA from 1 species